rnacentral:rRNA from 1 species
AUUGAACGCUGGCGGCAGGCCUAACACAUGCAAGUCGAACGGUAACAGGAAGAAGCUUGCUUCUUUGCUGACGAGUGGCGGACGGGUGAGUAAUGUCUGGGAAACUGCCUGAUGGAGGGGGAUAACUACUGGAAACGGUAGCUAAUACCGCAUAACGUCGCAAGACCAAAGAGGGGUACUUUUGGGCCUCUUGCCAUCGGAUGUGCCCAGAUGGGAUUAGCUAGUAGGUGGGGUAACGGCUGACCUAGGCGACGAUCCCUAGCUGAUCUGUGAGGAUGACCAGCCACACUGGAACUGAGACACGGUCCAGACUCCUACGGGAGGCAGCAGUGGGGAAUAUUGCACAAUGGGCGCAAGCCUGAUGCAGCCACGCCGCGUGUAUGAGGAAGGCCUUCGGGUUGUAAAGUACUUUCAGCGGGGAGGAAGGGAGUAGAGUUUAUACAUUUGCUUAUUGACGUUACCCGCAGAGGAAGCACCGGCUAACUACGUG